UACGUAGGUGGCAAGCGUUAUCCGGAAUUAUUGGGCGUAAAGAGCGCGCAGGUGGUUGAUUAAGUCUGAUGUGAAAGCCCACGGCUUAACCGUGGAGGGUCAUUGGAAACUGGUCGACUUGAGUGCAGAAGAGGGAAGUGGAAUUCCAUGUGUAGCGGUGAAAUGCGUAGAGAUAUGGAGGAACACCAGUGGCGAAGGCGGCUUCCUGGUCUGUAACUGACACUGAGGCGCGAAAGCGUGGGGAGCAAACAGGAUUAGAUAU
rnacentral:rRNA from 1 species